UACAGAGGUCUCAAGCGUUGUUCGGAUUCACUGGGCGUAAAGGGUGCGUAGGCGGGUCUUUUAAGUCAGGGGUGAAAUCCUGGAGCUCAACUCCAGAACUGCCUUUGAUACUGGUGAGCUUGAGUCCGGAAGAGGUGAGUGGAACUGCGAGUGUAGAGGUGAAAUUCGUAGAUAUCGAGAGGAACACCAGUGGCGAAGGCGAGUCUCUGGACGACACCUGACACUGAGGCACGGAAAGCUAGGGGAGCAAACAGG
rnacentral:rRNA from 1 species